AGACCCCUUAUUCAGAACUCAGGAACUGUGCUUUUCCAGAAUUGGAAGGUUUCCACUUGUUUGAGAAAAUCCAUGAGACAAAAUCCAAACAAAACAGAAUACAGCUUGUGCAGUGAUACCUCACAGUGAUACCUGCCAAAUUUCAGAUCUGUUUCAUAUGAGCUAUAGGUGAGCUUUACAAAUGACAUAUGGGGAGAAGAGGCAGGCGAGCGAGCACUUAGCAAGGUAACUGCAUGACAAGCCCCGAGGCCUCUCUGCAGAUGCCAGCACCACGGCCUGAGGAUGCUGCAAGGGAACCAGAUGUUGCAGAUGGAAAAAUGUUUCCUACAGUUUGGCAUCUGUGCUCUUUGACUUACCCAAAGUAUAAUGUACAGACGUGCACUCUGCAAUCUAUCAUCCCAUUGUUUGCUUACUACAGUACAAGCAUUUAAUGUAUUAAUGGACGAAGCAAAUAUGUUUCAUUUAGAAUCAGCGUUCUCUCCCACAAACAGAUGAUUUUGCAACACAUUGCACAACCUCCCAGAUGAUAGGAAUGUUAAAUGUUUUGAAGGCAAUAUUUACAUUAAAGAAAAUAUAGCUGCAUCUUGGGAGAGGGUUGGAGAGCUGCCAUACUUUGCAUUUCAUAUUUCUUGAAGUGUUUUGGUAAAACACGAUUUUAUAAUACUGGAUAAACCUAUCGUGUGCUUAAAUAUUUAGACAUGAGCUUCAUAUGAAUGGCAGGUUCCGUUUUUUUUUUCAGGAUGGUGCUGUGGUGGAACGCAAAAACUUAGUAGGAAUAAGAGCAGUUUCACUAAAGGAGGACCCUCAAUGCAGGAUGUCACACCACUCAAAAAAUCUUAGGGUUUUCUAACCUGCAUUGCUCCAGCUCCCACAACAUUUAGCUAAUAGGGCACCUCUGCAUUCUAUGCUACAAUAAUUGACAUUUAGUACUGAACAUAUUAUAUAUACUCUUACUUUCAACAGUAUUUAUGCCCCCUAUUCUCAUUAUACCAUGGUAAAUUCCCUCUCUCCCCUAACAUUAAACUAGCACAAAAUUGGAAAACCCUGCUUUUACUGUGUUUCUCUGUAUAGGGAAAAUAUAGUUAACAGUUGUGCUGCACCGAUAUCCUGAUGUGUGUACUGUGAGUGUGGGAUUGCGUCAGUGCAAUACAAAAUAUCACAUGUGAUGAAAGCAUGCCCACAGUUGCCAAAUGAUCUUCACAACUGGUAGCCUAAAUAAGUCUACAUUUUUGAAGCAGAUAAUGGUCCAGAUUUAACUGGAGAGGAAAAAUCUAUGUCUAGAGGGAAAUGUGUUCCUAAAUAAAAAAGUAAGUUUUUCCCAAUAAAUUUAAUCCAGCCCAAUAUCUCAGAUGUAGGAUCACUUUUGUCUGUACCAUUUGAAAAAUAAUUUGUUUAUUUCUCCUGUGCCAGUCAAGCGCCAUGUUUUUUCACUGCUCAUUGGAUGAAACGGUCCGGAUAUAUAACAUUAGUGAUAUCAGAUAGUAGGAUUACUGGUUGUGGGAUUGAGCCCAGGUCCUGAAUUAGUCAUAGCUAUGCCCUGCAUGCAUGACUUUGCUUCAUCUGGAACCGAAUCUGAGCUAAACUUUUGUACAGCACUACUUCCAGGCUAUACCACUUAUAUUAAAUGUAUUACCCAUGCCAAAUAACACUCUAUGCACCAAAAUAGAUGAAAAAAUGUGGUGGAAAAUUAGUGUAGACGAGCCCAUAAAUAAAGUCCCGUAGACAAAACUUUUGUGGUUUGGGAAUUUCUUACCAUUUUGUUCUGAAGCUUUCCAACACAUAAUUUAAAAUCUAUGACCCCAGCAACCAGAAUAAUUGUAGAACUAAAUUUUGACAAUUAUUAUUUUCUGAACUAUAUUUUCAUUUGUUAAAUGUCCUGUUAUAGUAAUUAGUACAUAAAACUGUCCAGUGGGGUUGAAUGAUUUGUAUACUGAUAAAUAGGUUUCAGAGCUACUUUUGUUUUGAUUUCACAGUAUGAUGGAUGUUAUCAUUUCUGUGGGUUUUUCUAAUUGUUUUUAUUUGUUUGGCAAAUGAAUGGGUGUUAACUGGAAUGUGUAUUUAAAUAUGUGACUGUAUAGGGACACCAUAUUAGCUUGUGACGAAGUGGCGAGAA